rnacentral:rRNA from 1 species
CCUGGCGGGUUAGUAAAGCUACUUUUAGGUGGGACAAAAAGCUACGGAUUAAUACUCUGUGGUCUUGAUUUAACCCAAAGAAAAAAGCACCGGCUAACUCUGUGC